UCUGCCUUGAAAUCUACUACAGGAGCAUCAACAGAAAAGUCUUCCACAAUCAAAUCUACCUUGGAAUCUACCACAGGAGCAUCAACAGAAAAGUCUACAACACCCGAAUCUACCUUGAAAUCUACUACAGGAAUAUCAACAGAAAAGUAUUCCACAACCAAAUCUACCUUAGAAGCUACUACAGGAACAUCAACAGAAAAGUCUACAACACCCGAAUCUACCUUGAAAUCUACUACAGGAACAUCAACAGAAAAGUCUUCCACAAUCAAAUCUACCUUGGAAUCUACUACAGGAAUAUCAACAGAAAAGUCUUCCUCAACCAAAUCUACCUUAGAAGCUACUACAGAAACAUCAACAGAAAAGUCUACAACACCAAAAUCUACCUUAACAUCUACAACAGGAACUACCAAAUCUUCAAUAAAAACUAAUACAGAGAAAUCAACAGGAAAGGCUACAUCAUCUAUCGCACCAACUUCCACAAAGUCAUCGACUAAAUUAACUUUAAAAUCGACAACUGAAAUUAAAACAAAAACUUUCAAAGCUACAUCUCGAACAUCACAAAGGCCUGAGAAAACAAAAAAAGCCACAAUGCAACCAAAAACAACACGACCUACUAUUGUCCAAAAAGUUACGCAAUCCAAAGGCGGUAAAAAAAAAGUUACACUUCCGUAUUACCCAAAACAUACCAACCUUCCCACACCGCCAAGGCCAGUGAGCAAACCCGAAGUUAAGAAGAGUAGAGUUAGGAAAAUGGCCAAAAGCUUUUUGGGAAGAUCGAAAAAUAGCAGAAUUGGAAAAAGUUGUUUUGAAACAGCGUUAAAUUCAAUCUUAAGUGUAAUUAUUGAGUUUGUUGAAGCUUAUCGAAACUGUUAUUACCCAGAAAAAAUUAACGCUCUUAUUAAAUUACUAAACAAGUGUAUGCGAUUAA